GAUGAACGCUAGUUACAGGCUUAACACAUGCACGUCGAGGGACCGGCGCACGGGUGAGUAACACGUAUCCAACCUGCCCCUUACUCGGGGAUAGCCUUUCGAAAGAACGAUUAAUACCCGAUAUAAAGGCUGGGGAUGCGUUCCAUUAGGUUGUUGGGGCGGUAUCGGCUCACCAAGCCUUCGAUGGAUAGGGGUUCUGAGAGGAAGGGCCCCAACAGGGGAACAGAGACACGGCCCAAACGCACACGGGAGGCAGCAGUGAGGAAGAAUGGUCAAUGGGAGCUAGCCUGAACCAGCCAAGGAUCGUGAAGGAUGAAGGCAUAUGGGUCGUAAACUUCUGUUAUAGAAGAAUAUGUAUUAGAAGGAUAGGGAACGGCUAACACCGUGCCAGCAGCCGCGGUAAUUC
rnacentral:rRNA from 1 species